rnacentral:lncRNA from 1 species
GGUGCACGGGUUAAAGAGGGGGAGAUAAAUUAUGACGGAAUAAUUAAUAACACUUUAAAACAAAUUUAUUUGUUCCAAACAUAUUUAUGAAAGGCUUAAUAAAGAAGGGUUACAACAUUUAUUUAAGCACAUAAAGGAAAGCAAGUGAAGUUGUACCGAAAUAAUAGGUUUUCAAGGAUAAAUAAGGUCAUGAUAGGUGGUUUUGAAAAGACUAGAACAUGUA